rnacentral:lncRNA from 1 species
CUCCAUUUAUCAGUCUCAUUAGCAAAGACAACACGAUAUCUCGUACAAGCAACAUGGAGGGACAGGAUGGGGGUUGCAGGUGAGGAGGGAGCUGCUGGAGUCGAGAGGCUCCGAGCUGUGGCAGCUGCCGCUGCGCGUGACCGUUGGCGACCGGGAAGCGACCAGAAAGGAGGAGGUGGCCACGACCAUCUCCGACAUUCUACACGACCAUCUCCGACAUUCUACUCGGCAUCGUCGAGUGUGGGGCUAGGAGAGACGUGGAAGGCGGCCGCCGCAACGUGAUGAUGCGCAGGCGCCUUGUUCAGGGUGUAGCACUCCUCGCGGCGUACGACGCUGGAGGAUCAAUGCCCGUCGUCGCCUUCCUUGGUGGCCACCUGUGUCGCGUCCACGGCCGGGCUGACCGUCAUCCGCUUCGCCACCUCGGUCGUCGAAGCGAACCACACAUCAGCGAUUCUCGUGUUCAUAUGCGGUUUGCUUGCCAUGGGCAUGUGUUACCUGAUCUUCACUCGUGUCAUUGACAUGAGAGUACAUUACACAAAACUACCACUUUAAAGGCUAGAUUUAUGAAAAGCAUUAUAAUAGUUUUUUGUGCAAAAAUCCAUGUCUUCAGUAAUCAUUUUACAGAAAAUAAUGAUCGACGGAUUUGCCUAAGCUAAGCACGUUUAUGAUAGAUGGGGCCUGCCAGUCAUGCUGAUGUGGCACCGUUUAACAUCUUACAUGGAACGAUGACAAUUGGUAAUGUGUGAACAUGUGGGGUCCACCUGUCAUUGAAAGAAAUGAAGGAAAGGAGUAAAGUACCCCCAAAUCUCGCCCGACGUCGCCGUUUCCCCUCCGCAUCCCCGUUCUCCCACAGCGGCCAGCACCAAUGAUCUUACCUCCUCGACCUCGUCGCAGCCGGCGGUGGUGAAGGAGCGCCUCAAGGUGUACCUCCGCAACCACCCCCUCCCGACUCCGGAGAUGGAGCGCGGUGGUAGACCUACCGGCGACCGUGCCAAGGUCAAGGAGCACCCGCUUGUUGGGGAACGUUGCAUGGGAAACAAAAAAUUUCCUACGCACAAGCAAGACCUAUCCAUGGUGAUCAUCAUCUACGAGAGGGGAGAUCGGAUUCACAUACCCUUGUAGAUCGCUAAGAGGAAAGCGGUUAAAACGUUGUUGAUGUAGUCGAACGUCUUCGCGAUUCAAAUCGCAAGCGUCCCACGAACUCAGUCCCGAUCUAGCACCGAACGAACGACACCUCCGCGUUCAGCACACGUACAACUUGAUGACGAUCUCUGCCUUCUUGAUCCAGCAAGAGGGGCGAGAGAUAGAUGAGUUUCCCAGUAGCACGACGGCGUGGUGGUGAACUAAUCCAGCAGGGCUUCGCCAAGCUAUACCGGAUUAAUCUAGACAUGGAAGACAAUUUGUGGAGAAGAGGGCAGCAUGUG